rnacentral:piRNA from 1 species
UGUCAGUGCUAGGCGUAAG